GCCGGCAUGCGGGCUGAACCCAACCCAGACUGGCACGUUUCCAGCUGGUAGAUGAGUUCAGGGCUCUGCUGUCCUGUCUGCCCAGCCUCCCCCUGCCUGGGACACAGGGGCUGAGGGAAAUGGGGCCGCCCCUCCCUCACACACACUCUUGCUUGACGGUGGAGGGGGGGGAGGCAUUUGGCGCACAGGCUCCCUUCAGUGGGGUGGAAUGAGCUGCACCAGGGAGAUGGGCAAAAAAUAGAAACACAUUGCUGAGGCUGCAGGAAGUGUGCUGGGAGCAGGGGUCCCGAGAGGACAAGAAGGAGAGGCUUCCAGGAUGGAGGAGGGACUGACCCGCUUGUCUGCAGCCAGCGACCUGCCCAGGCCAGCACUUGCAAUGCGGUGACUGAGAAAGGAGUAAUGGAAAGUGCUGGUGAUGUCCCACUGCUGGCCCAUGGCCCUUUGCACUAAGAGGGGCCUUCCGAGGUCACACACCCACCCUCAGCCUCUAGGCCUGGCCACCCUCCACCCAUCACACAGGCCACCCUGUCAGCUCAGACCCAGGGUCCUGAAACCUCCCAGAGGUGAGAGGGCAUCCAGGUGAGACGGAGGGAGCACGCUGAUGCCCGAUGAGCCACACAGCGCUGGACGAGGACAGCUUGUGUUGGGGGACCCUCUCUGUGUACCAGUCAGAGACGCCAGCUCCAGUGCAGCUCCCAACUGAUUCCUCUAUCAGGUCAGAGCAGAAACACACCAGCCACAAUACACGCCCCAAAGGCACAGCCAAGCAUCAGGACAGAACAGGAUCCCACAGGGGCCAGGGUGUGUUUUCAAGUGGAGUAAGGUAUUUAUUAUGGACUGAAUGUGUUCCCUCCAAAUUCAUAUGUUGAAGCCUUAAUCCCCAGUGUAUUUGGAGGUGGGGCUUUGGGGCAGUUAGCAGGUUUUGGUGGGUGGGUGUGCUCCCGUGGAUUAGUGCCCUUACAAGAAGAGGAAGAGAGACCAGAGCUAUUUCUCUCUGCCAUGAGUGGAUGUGGCAAGAAGGUGACCGCCUACAAGCCAGGAAGAGAGCCCUCACCAGGAAUGGAGUCAGCAGCAUCUGGAUCUUGGACUUUCCAGCCACCAUUCUAUGAGAAAUAAAUGUCUCUCGUCUAA